CGAGAAGGAAGCCUGUAAGGACAAGGAGGGGGAAGUCGAAGACUGCGGCUUCCUCUUUUUGUUACUUGGAGAUUCGUCGCUACGAGCUGAUAGGUCUUUGACUUUUGAGGAUUUGCUGGUUUUGGUUUUGGAUGGCUUGUGGGAUGGGGAAGGAAUGACAGCUGGUAUCGGGGACACGGCGGAUGGGGCCUUGAAGGUUGAGUCCAUGAUGCUGAGGGUUGCAGCCACAUGGGGGAAAGCUGUGGUGUGGGACAUGAGGACGCGUGGGUCCGGCGAUGCCACGAAAGCUGCAUCUGAGAGCAUGGCUGAUGUCAUUAUGUAAGAAGAGUAGAGCCCAGCUUCCAGCUGCUGCAGCUUACAGCUGCAUCCUUGAGUACAGAAGCACAGUGUCUUUGAAACUGUCAGACCAAGGAGAUCAAAUAGAAAAGCGCUGCCAAGCCCACAGUGGUCGGUUGUGAUGGCGUCUAAGACCUUCCUUCCUCUCCAGCCCAUGGAACAUCAGAGCUCCUCCUGUCAGCACUAAACAAGAUGCUGUACAGAUAGAUCCUGGCUGCAAUGAAUGAUAUAUAUACUUCAAAUUGUGCAGACAGGCAGAACUGAAGUUCUAAAUCUUACUUGGCCCCUACUCAAGACUGGAAUGGCUGCUACUUCUGGUGCCCAACAGCAGCAGAUUUCCCCUUUGAUGGGCCGCCUGACUCAGGCUUUGCACACUGGCCUACAGGAAAUCCCGUAUAAAAGCCCAGAGAUGUGAAUGAAUUCCUGACAGCUCCCAUCCUCCCCUGCCAGCUGGCGUGAAGAUCCAGAUGCUGACCUGGCUGAAAGAGAAUACUGUGUUGGCGUCUCCUGAUGCAGAGUU